CAUUUUAUUCAAAUCCUGCUUCCAAAACCAACGAAGUCCAAUGUUGGUAGCAUCGGUCGAUAGAUACUAGAUACAUAUUAAUAUUACGCCUGACCAAUUCGUACCGACCCUCCCUCCAGGACCACUUCAGUCAAUGAGAUACUCGACGAGGACCCCGUUCAACCUCUACUAUAAACCGACUCCGCGAAGUACGACUUCGUGAAUGACACGGUGAAGACAUGGGCGGGCUCCCGAACGUCAAACUAACAACUUUGACUAAGACUCUACACACACUUGGACACCUUCUUGUCCCUGCUAGUGACACGUCUCUAGUCAUCCCAAGUAGGAAGCGCUCUAAGUCUCGAGUCAUUCCAAAAUCAAGGAACCCUCAGAGGAAAGGAACCAUGGUUCCUUCCGGUUUGGACGUGUAAUAACACGGUUUCCUUCGGUUCCGGUCCGGUUCACGGUUGAACACAUGACACCCACCACGUUAGACUAACAUUAGAAUGAACU
rnacentral:rRNA from 1 species